rnacentral:rRNA from 1 species
UAACGCGUGGGUAACCUGCCUCAUACAGGGGGAUAACAGUUAGAAAUGACUGCUAAUACCGCAUGAGCGCACAGUGCUGCAUGGCACAGUGUGAAAAACUCCGGUGGUAUGUGAUGGACCCGCGUCUGAUUAGCUAGUUGGUGGGGUAACGGCCUACCAAGGCGACGAUCAGUAGCCGACCUGAGAGGGUGACCGGCCACAUUGGGACUGAGACACGGCCCAA